CUCUCCCGCACACUAACACUGGGGCGAGAGGUGCAAGCAGGACGCCUUCCCUCUACCUCUGCCUCUACUCUGGUCUCUGCAUUCGUGGUGAUGGAGAUGAAAGUGUUUAACGUGAUGGUGAUGGCGGUGGUGGUGGUGAUGAUGGCGUUGUGUGAGGCCCACCCCUUCCGCGGCGGCUCCCCUCUCCUCGCCGCCGCCCCCCGCCAGGACCUAGAGGCCGACCCCCACCUGGGCUUCUUCCCCCCAGGUAACCCCCUCCCCCGCCCCCCCGGCCUGGCGUCACUGGGGGAGCUAGGGGACCCUCCAACGGGGGGAUUCGCGCCCUUCCCUGAGGUUGGGGGGCCGUCACCCUUCAGCAUACCGGAGUUAUCUGGGGGGCGCGGAGGGGAGUUUGACCCUCCCCACUUUGAUUCGUUUCCCGACUUUGAUUCCCCCCAUCCUCCUGCUCCCCCUCCUCCGCCUCCUCCUCCUUCCUCUCAUCCUCCAGAAUUCGAGUUCGCAAGUCCUUCUCACCCCCCUCCUCGUCCUCGUCCUCGUCCUCGUCCUUCGAAAGUGAAAGACGCCUUCCACCCCGCCUCAGCCACUGCCCCCCUUCGUCCGCGCCCCGUGAAGAAAGCCAAGCGCCCCAGCAAGAGGCCCCGUCGUCGCCCCGCCCCCGCCAACCGCCCCGCCCCCGCCCCCCGCCCCGUCGCGCCCCAGAAGCAGCGGGAAGCGAUCGGGGCAAGAGGUCAGGAUAGAAGUGUGUCGGGGUUCCUAAAGUCCUUCCGUAAGCUGGUCCUGGAAAACCUGUAGACGAGAGAGAGAGAGAGAGAGAGAGAGAGAGAGAGAGAGAGAGAGAGAGAGAGAGAGAGAGAGAGAGAGAGAGAGAUUUUGUAAUGGUAUUAGUACUGUAUUGUGACCAUCUUUUGUUGUUAUUGUAGUAGUAGUAGUAGUAGUAGUAGUAGUAAUUGUUGUUGUUGUUGUUGUUCAUAGUACUCUGAUCUUUGUUUUAAUUGUUCUGUUUUUUCUUAUGUAUGUUUUUCGUAUAGGUCAAAAAUUUUGUACGUUUUUAAGUUUACAUGUUUGUGUAUGUCUACGUGUGUGUGUGUGUGUGUGUGUGUGUGUGUGUGUGUGUGUGUGUGUGUGUGUGUGCUUAUCUGUGUACACAUGAUCAUGUGCGCUGGUCGCCAUGUACAUAUAAUAGUAACGUAAUGCAUUGUGA